GCCCACUAAUCUAAUAGGGAGGACAGAAAAAAACUGCGCAUACCAGCCACGGUCCUUGUCAUCUUCAAGGCUCACCAAAACCCUCUUACUCCUGGCUACUAAAGUAAAAACGCCAUUGUGGAAAAGCCUAGGGGAGUAAAGAUGAAUUAGAUGAGGGAAGGUGAAAGAAACACCAGCUGUAUUGGCCAAAUGCCUCAAACAGGCAACAACUCUCCAUACAAUUUGAUCCAAACAGACAUUAAAGAAACGGCAAAAUUCUAGAAUAAUUGGGUAAAUAGUUGGUCUGAACCUUAAAGUGAAAGGAUAUGUAUAUAGGCAACAACUCUUCAUACAAUUGGGCCAAUUUGACCCAAACAGACAAUAAAGACACAGCAAAAUUCAAGAAUAAC
rnacentral:lncRNA from 1 species